AACGAACGCUGGCGGCAGGCCUAACACAUGCAAGUCGAGCGAGGACUUCGGUCCUAGCGGCGGACGGGUGAGUAACGCGUGGGUACGUGCCCUUUGCUACGGAAUAGCCCUGGGAAACUGGGAGUAAUACCGUAUGUGCCCUUCGGGGGAAAGAUUUAUCGGCAAAGGAUCGGCCCGCGUUGGAUUAGGUAGUUGGUGGGGUAAUGGCCUACCAAGCCGACGAUCCAUAGCUGGUUUGAGAGGAUGAUCAGCCACACUGGGACUGAGACACGGCCCAGACUCCUACGGGAGGCAGCAGUGGGGAAUCUUAGACAAUGGGCGCAAGCCUGAUCUAGCCAUGCCGCGUGAGCGAUGAAGGCCUUAGGGUUGUAAAACUCUUUCAGUGGGGAAGAUAAUGACGGUACCCACAGAAGAAGCCCCGGCUAACUCCGUGCCAGCCGCCGCGGUAACAA
rnacentral:rRNA from 1 species